rnacentral:rRNA from 1 species
AUUAUCACUAGUUAAAAUUUUAAUUGAUUUUGACUUUUAUCCUACAUGGAUAACUGUGGUAAGUAUGGAGGUAAUCCAUGCAUACAAGAUAAAACAUUUCUUUGUUAUAUGGCGUAUAUUAGUAUUAAAACCCAGCAUUCUUCGGAAUGUUUUGUGUUGAAACUGAAUAUAUCAUGCUGAUCGUAUGGUCUUGUACCGACGACAUGUCAUUCAAGUGUCUGAUCUAUCAACUUUCUAUAUAAGUAUAUAGUACUUAUAUGGUUUUGACGGAUAACGGGGUAUUAGGGUACGACUCCGGAGAAAAUGCCUGAGAAACGGCGUUUACACCCAAGGAAGGCAGCAGGCGCGAAAAUUACCCUCUCUCAGUACGAGGAGGUAGUGACGAGAAAUGACAAGAUCUAUUCCUUCGGGGAUGGAUCAUUGGUAUGGUUUGAUUUUAAAAUCAUUAAAGAGUAUCAAUGAGACGGCAAGUCUGGUGCCAGCAGCCGCGGUAAUUCCAGCUCUCAUACUGCAUUGAAUUGUUGUUGCGGUUAAAAUCUCGUAGUUGGAUCUGUACAUGAUAGGUUAGUUCAUCCUUUGGAUUGUAACUUAUACUAAAUGUUUUUUAUUAGAUUUUUCUAUGUUCUUUACGGGAUAUAAAAUGUCUAAUGAGUUUACUUUGAAUAAAUCAGAGUGCUCAAAACAGGCGUAAGCUUGUAUAGUUUUGCAUGGAAUAAUAGAACAUGACUAUGGUUCAUGUUUUAUUGGUUUUACUUACCAUAGUAAUGAUUAAAAGGAACAAACGGGGGCAUCCGUAUCGCAGGGCGAGAGGUGAAAUUCGUGGACCCUUGCGAGACGACCUACAGCGAAAGCAUU